UAAAAAAUUCGCUUAGUAAAUCACAAAAUUACCAACUUAAAGUACCACCCAGAUGAAAUUUCUUUCGGAAAAAGUAUUAUGCUUGAAAAUCGGAAUAAAAUUUCUAGUACAGAAGUUGUUCAAAGAAAAAAAAACAUCAUUAUAAAAGCAAUACAUUCUUAUCGUUUCGCUCAGAAUCUAAAAUGAAAAAUGAAUAAUUUAAUGUAUAGCCGUAUAGAUAUUUUACUUAUAGUUUAUUUAUAACCAGAGUUUUCGAAUAUAUAUAUAUGAGCAUAUGUUCUUGAGUUCUAGUACAUUUCGUAAAAUAUUAAAAUUCUUGAUUAUUCGUUAUUCGAUUUUUUUUUUCUAAGUUCUAGUUUUUCUUAUAAGUCCAUUUGGCUAACUCGGGUACCUACAUAAGUUUAGAAAGGAAAUUUAAUUCUCUAUUUCGCCUCUUGGUUGGUAAGCUCCUACAAAAUUAGGGAGUCUCCUACUGUAGAGUAAUUAUCUAGGAGUCCUACAUGGACAUAAUGUAAACUUAUACACAAGAUAAACCUGAUAUAGUUUAUACUAUUGUUAAAGAGUACUUAUUGGACACAUAACCCGUGUCUUUUGUAAAUAAAUAAAUAAAUAUACUCCUUUAACAG